GAUGAACGCUGGCGGCGUGCCUAAUACAUGCAAGUCGAGCGAACAGACGAGGAGCUUGCUCCUCUGACGUUAGCGGCGGACGGGUGAGUAACACGUGGAUAACCUACCUAUAAGACUGGGAUAACUUCGGGAAACCGGAGCUAAUACCGGAUAAUAUAUUGAACCGCAUGGUUCAAUAGUGAAAGACGGUUUUGCUGUCACUUAUAGAUGGAUCCGCGCCGCAUUAGCUAGUUGGUAAGGUAACGGCUUACCAAGGCAACGAUGCGUAGCCGACCUGAGAGGGUGAUCGGCCACACUGGAACUGAGACACGGUCCAGACUCCUACGGGAGGCAGCAGUAGGGAAUCUUCCGCAAUGGGCGAAAGCUUGACGGAGCAACGCCGCGUGAGUGAUGAAGGUCUGCGGAUCGUAAAACUCUGUUAUUAGGAAGAACAAAUGUGUAAGUAACUAUGCACGUCUUGACGGUACCUAAUCAGAAAGCCACGGCUAACUACGUG
rnacentral:rRNA from 1 species